GUGCCAGCCGCCGCGGUAAUACGUAGGUGGCAAGCGUUGUCCGGAAUUACUGGGCGUAAAGGGUGCGCAGGCGGACAUUUAAGUGAGAUGUGAAAGACCCGGGCUUAACUUGGGCAGUGCAUUUCAAACUGGAUGUCUGGAGUGCAGGAGCGGAGAACGGAAUUCCUAGUGUAGCGGUGAAAUGCGUAAAGAUUAGGAAGAACACCAGUGGAGAAGGCGGUUAUCUGGACUGUAACUGAUGCUGAGGCACGA
rnacentral:rRNA from 1 species